AGUCCUGUUUCAAAGGAAAGCAUUUCAAGUGGCCCUAAGUUUAUUUUCCGGUGUUUGUUAUCAUUAAAAACUGAAGAAAAAAAAAACAAAACAAAAAACGUGGUGAUCAUCUCCACCCAUCAGGCACGAUCUGUGUACACGAUCCCACAGUUCUCACACUGGCAAUGAAAGAAGCACGGCCACAAAGGUCUUCUUGGUACAGAAACAGGAAAAGAAGGACCGUCUCUCAUCAGACUCCUGACCCCUUGACGUCUGACGACAGUGAUGAUAUGAUGAUGGCUGAUGGAGUGGAUGUACAGGUUUGGUAACAAAGACUAUUAUUUCACAUGUGACCAAAACCAACACAUUUCAUGAUGUGGAGGAAUCAAAAAUACAUAUAAUGUAAUUUUUUCAAUUCUGAACUGUCUUCAGGCCAGCUCCACAGUCAGCUCACAGAGCAACAUCAUCUACUACACUCUCCUCUGUCUAGAGGAGAUGCUGUGGAUUGUCUUUGCCUGGAUCUUGUCUGAUCUCCACCCAGGAGCUCCACAUCUUCUUCUCCUGACUCUGGUCUUGUGGAAUAAGAAUGUAAAAUUCCUUUGCUUUUCAAUAAGCUCCGCUCCCUUCUACAUUAGUAUAACCUUUUUUUAGCUAUGUACAAAUUGCACAAUUUAAAUAAAUGUCAUUUCACCUGUGUAGGUCCUUUCUUCUUAUAGCUUGUAGAAGAGUGUGAAGUCUUUUUGCCAUUUUGGGACAAAGUGCAGAAAACAGAGAAGAGACACUGGUGAAAACAGCUGACGACAAUUUUGGUUUCCAUCAAUUUUAAUUGAAUUUAUAGACUUUCAAACAAACUUGUACAAAUUGCAAAACAGCAUUUGGUAACACCUCAUUGUUUUCUUAUUAUUAUUAUUAGGAAAUAAAUUAAGUGAAUAAAAAGUAAACAAUAUGAAUAGAGAACAUAGAAAUACAACAGAAAGAAUAAUACCACAAAGAGCAAAAAAAAAAAAAAGAAAAAGGAAAGGAAAAGA